rnacentral:lncRNA from 9 species
GUUCCAGCACCAUUUGUUGAAAAACUAACUUUGCCCAUUGUAUUGUCUUUGCUCCCACUACCAGUUGGCUCUAUUUGUGUGUGUCUAUUUCAGGAUUCUAUUCUGUUCUAUGAACGUGUUUUCCUGUCUUUUUACGAAUAUCACCCCAUCCCGAUCACUACAGUUCUGUCGGAAGGCUUAAGACCCAGUAGAGUCAGUCAUCCUGCUUUGUUUUUCUCCUUCCAUAUUGUGCUGCUUUUCUGGACUUUUUGACUCUCCAUAUACAUUUUAUUUUAUUAAAAAAAUUUUUUUUGUCUUUUUAGGGCCACACCUGUGGCACAUGGAGGUUCCCAUGCUAGGGGUCCAGUUGGAGCUGAAGCUGCUGGCCUGCACCACAGCCACAGCAACACGGGAUCUGAGCCACAUCUGAGACCGACACCCCAGCUCAUGGCAACGCUGGUCCUUCGCCCACUGAGCGAGGCCAGGGAUCGACCCCACAUCCUCAUGGAUGCUAGCCAGGUUCACUAACCGCUGAGCCAUGAGGGGAACUCCUCCAUGUACGUUUUAGAAUCCAUUUGUGGUAUCCACAAAGAGCUGCCUAGGAUUUUGAGUGGGAUGCCUUAAAUCUACAGAUCAAAUUCGGAAGAGCUGGCCUCUUAACCACUGCCUUCCUCUCCACGAGCUUGGAACCUCUCUCCACUCAAUUAGUUCUUCUUUGAUUUCUUUCAUCAGUUUUGUAGCUUUCCUCACAUAGAUUUUGUUCCCGUUUUGUUAGGUUUAUUAUAAGCAUUUCCUUUUUCGGGGGCUCAUGUACAUGAUACUGUGUUUUAAAUGUCAAUUUCCAGUUAUUCAUUGCUAGUAUAUGAACUAGGAAUGUGACUUUUGUAUUUUAAGCUUAUAUCCUGCAGUCUUGCUAUAAUUGCUUAUUAGUCCCCAGAGUUUUCUGAUUCUUCGGAUUUUCUGUUUAGAUGACGUGCCAUUUGCGCACAAACACAGCCUUAGUCCUUCCUUCCCAACCUGCAUACCUUUUAUUUCCUUUUCUUGCCCAACUGCAUUAGCAAAGACGUUCCAUACAAGGUUGAGAAGGUGGUACAGCUGGUUUUUCCGCUCAGCAGUGGAUAUUUGUUGUUUCUGGGUUUUGCCUGCUCUGAGGAGAGCUGCUUUGUUCAGAUCAUACAGCACAUGUGUGGACAUAUGUGCUCUCUUCUCAUGGGGAAGCGCCCAGGCGUGGGAUGCUGCAUUGCAGGUCAAAGAGAUGCCGGACGGUCCGAGGCACAGCCGAGCUCCUGUCCAAGGCGGGUUUCUGAUGGGCAGCGUGUCGGUGGCUUUUGACGCUCAUCUGAUAGUCUCUGCCUUCCAGUCAGAGUAUUUAGACCAUUUAAGUUUUGCUGACUCUGGACGGAGAGGGUUGAAACCUACCCUCUUCCUAAAGCUUUUUGCUUUUGUCCUGUUUGUCCUUUGUUACUUCCCCCUUUUUUGCCUUCUCUUGGGGCCUCUUCUACAAUUCCAUUUUACUGCACCUGUCAGCUGACCAGUGACCCUUCGGGGGCUUUUCAGUGACGGGGCAGCACCGUGACUCUCACGUUCGCCCCUCGCUCAGACACAGAAGAAUUCAGAGACACGGGUCUCUGCAGGGCUUCCUGCCCACUAGGAGUUUGCAGCAUUUGCCUCAUGUGGGAGAGAGGUCCAGGGACUGCCCAGUUUCUCCUCUGCAGCCCUCGGGGCGGCGGCGUGGUGGGGGGCAUUUCUGUCCCUCUUCUGGGCACCUGGCAGCUGGCACAGGCCCUCCCUGUAGCCAAGCCAGCUCCCCAGCUUGUUUUGCCCUUAGGAAUCCAUCAAACCCUCAGCCACAUUCCUUUUAUCUGAGGUCCGGGCCACCGUGCUUUGGUCAGAAUCAUCUGAGGUUUUGUUUGCUUCAUUUUGUUUGGUGCAAGAGGCAAGGAGCAGAUGGUAUACUGUUAACAGAUGGAGAGGAAACCAGAAAGCCUCCAGUCUCUUCUCUGCUUCCUUUAUGUAAAAACGGAGUUCCUGCAGAAAGGACACGCAGGCUUGCUGGGAGUGAGAUCCCAACAGAGAAGAACGCGACACCUGCUCUCCAAGGGCGUGUGGGCAGUCCGACCCAGAUAACCUGAAAGACCUUGGGAACGCGUGUGAAGUGCUUGGAGGGAACCUCUCUGGAAUCUUGAAGAACGAGACAGACACCAGGACAGAAGAGGUGGCAGACGCGCCAGCUCUUGGGGCGGGGAGGAGGAGACUACGGAUGCGCAAGCUCACUGUCCACAGGUGGGUAGUUUUGGUCUAGAGGUCAACUGCGUCCCGAGAAAUGCUCGGGGAAGAAAGGAACAAGCAUUGGCUCAUUGAAAGGAAAAAGCCAAGGUCGCCUCCUCCUGCGUAUGAAGUCUUAGGAGGUGGGGGAAGCCGCCUGGGUCUGCUUCCAUCGGGGCGGGGGGAGGAAAAAGGCAACAGCACACGUGCGUGAAUUCAGAGCUGGACCCAGGGAAUUUUAAUGCUGUGUCCCUGCAUCUAUUCUGCUCAAAACUGAUUCUCUCUCAUCCCAGUGACGGUGGGAUCACUGUGACUGAGCAGCCUCGUGUCUAAAAUAAUAAAAUAUCCGCCCCAAUGAGGAAGGGUAAGGGCGUGGCGGGGCACAGUCUUUGUCUUCCUUGCGUGUUGCUGGUGCGGCCGGUGGGGAGGCCGUCGAGCCGAGGUCCGCCCGUCGCCGUUGGCCCUCGCGCCCUUCACUUUGUCCCAGAGCCACCGUGUCUGCGGAGAUGCUCGCCGCUGUGGGCGAGGGUGGUGCCAGACGCAGGGAAAGGCCAGGGGACACGCACAACGAGACAUCUGAACUUGGCAAAGUACGAAAGCUCCCCGCUUGCGAACUCUCUGGACCCCAGACUAGAGAACGCGAUGUCCCGAGCUGAGUCUCUGUGCCUAGAAUUGGGGGGCAGGGGGCGCACGGGCCUCGAAGGGCUACCGAGCUCCCGGCAGUCCCGCCUCAGCCUGGGGCGCCCGCAACAGCGCCUCGGUCCCCCUGAGGCCGAGCAGAGGCUUCUUCACGCUCCUCCUGGUGAGUGAUGGGCGCAGAGUUCACGUGAGCCCACGAGCACCUUGAACGCCAGGUAAGCCUUUCCGUUUCCCCAGGUCCUUGGAGGAUCCGUUCAGCACUCCAGGUGAUGGUGCGCCAGAAAGAGCAGCCUGGACGUUCCAAACCCUUCGAAGCAUCGCAGCGCCGUCAAGGCACCAACAGGUAAACCUCAGGCCGGAGAAGCCACAGGGGUUUCCAGCCACAGCGGCCAAGCUGAGCUCAAGCGUUUCAAGCAACCCCUUCAAGAAAGAGCCGACUUGGGGGUCCCCAUGCCGCUCACUCAGAGAACCAGCUGCGUGGGCAUUUGAUACCAGGUCCCCGAAGGGUGAGCCCUUGCUCAGAGACCUCUCCACUGUCCGCACCCCCAGACGAGGGCACGAUUUCAGAACACCUGCUCUCCUUGCCGUCACUUCUCCACGUGACUCCCAGCCCACGAGCCACCUCUGCAAAGGACCGAGGCCAGCAAACCUCUUCCUGAUGUACAGCCAGUGGGACUCAGCUGCGUCCUGGACCGAUUCACUUCUCACAAAAUUAUCCUGACAGCCUCGCUUGCUGACCUCGGGGAACCCAGACUGAACCCGUUGCCUUGCCUUUGGGACCAGGACGGGCGUUGUUUAAAGAUGGGCCCUGUAUGUCGCUCCAGAUCAGAAUGUUUUCCUUUUAUAGCAUUUUAACAGCUUUUCCC